rnacentral:rRNA from 1 species
UGGGGAAUUUUGGACAAUGGGCGCAAGCCUGAUCCAGCCAUGCCGCGUGCGGGAAGAAGGCCUUCGGGUUGUAAACCGCUUUUGUCAGGGAAGAAACGCUCUGGGCUAAUACCCUGGGGUAAUGACGGUACCUGAAGAAUAAGCACCGGCUAACUACGUGCCAGCAGCCGCGGUAAUACGUAGGGUGCGAGCGUUAAUCGGAAUUACUGGGCGUAAAGCGUGCGCAGGCGGUUGUGUAAGUCAGAUGUGAAAUCCCCGGGCUCAACCUGGGAAUUGCAUUUGAGACUGCACGGCUAGAGUGUGUCAGAGGGGGGUAGAAUUCCACGUGUAGCAGUGAAAUGCGUAGAUAUGUGGAGGAAUACCGAUGGCGAAGGCAGCCCCCUGGGAUAACACUGACGCUCAUGCACGAAAGCGUGGGGAGCAAACAGGAUUAGAUACCCACGUAGUCCCUGAGCGGGCUGGCAAGGCGCAU